rnacentral:rRNA from 1 species
AUUGAACGCUGGCGGCAGGCCUAACACAUGCAAGUCGAGCGAGCGGAGGACGGGUGAGUAAUGUCUGGGGACUGCCCGAUAGAGGGGGAUAACUACUGGAAACGGUGGCUAAUACCGCAUACUCUCGGAUAACCCAUAUGGGAUUAGCUAGUAGGUGGGGUAAAGGCUCACCUAGGAGACGAUCUCUAGCUGUUCUGAGAGGAUGAUCAUCCACACUGGGACUUGUACACGGCCCAGAAUCCUACGGAGGCAUCAGUGGGGAAUAUUGCACAAUGGUCGCAAGCCUGAUGCAGCCAUGCCGGGUGUAUGAAGAAGGCUUUAGGGUUGUAAAGUACUUUCAGCGGGGAGGCGUUACCCACAGAAGAAGCACCCGCGAAAUCCGUGCCAGCAGCCGCGGUAAUUC